AGGUGGGAGGAUGGCUUGAGCCUGGGAGAUGGAGGUUGCAGUGAGCUAAGAUCACACUACUGCACUCCAGCCUAGGC
rnacentral:miRNA from 1 species